rnacentral:rRNA from 1 species
UGGGUAACCUGCCUCAAAGAGGGGAAUAGCCUCCCGAAAGGGAGAUUAAUACCGCAUAAUAUGUUUUGAUCGCAUGAUCGAGACAUCAAAGGAAUUUCUUCGGAAAUUCCACUUUGAGAUGGACCCGCGGCGCAUUAGCUAGUUGGUGAGGUAACGGCUCACCAAGGCAACGAUGCGUAGCCGACUGAGNGGGUGAUCGGCCACAUUGGACUGAGACACGGUCCA